CCUACGGGAGGCAGCAGUCGGGAAUAUUGCUCAAUGGGGGAAACCCUGAAGCAGCCACGCCGCGUGGAGGAUGAAGGUUUUCGGAUUGUAAACUCCUUUUGUUAGAGGAGAUAAUGACGGUAUCUAACGAAUAAGCACCGGCUAACUCCGUGCCAGCAGCCGCGGUAAUACGGAGGGUGCAAGCGUUACUCGGAAUCACUGGGCGUAAAGAGCGCGUAGGCGGGAUAGCAAGUCAGAUGUGAAAUCCUAUGGCUUAACCAUAGAACUGCAUUUGAAACUGUUAUUCUAGAGUAUGGGAGAGGUAGGUGGAAUUCUUGGUGUAGGGGUAAAAUGCGUAGAGAUCAAGAGGAAUACUCAUGGCGAAGGCGACCUGCUAGAACAUAACUGACGCUGAUGCGCGAAAGCGUGGGGAGCAAACAGGAUUAGAUACCCCUGUAGUC
rnacentral:rRNA from 1 species